CCUGAGUGGAGCAAGGGCGGUGGUUGGAGGCAUGAAGCUACCUUCAGGCCAAAGGCUACCACCAGUGAGAGGCUAUAUGGAUGACAUCACAACCAUUCUCCAGACAGCAGCGUGCACAAAAAGACUGCUGAAGAGGAUUGACGAGCUUGUGGGGUGGGCGAGGAUGAAGAUCAAACCCGCCAAAUCACGCAGUCUGUCCCUCAGGAAAGGGGUUAGAAGCGACCAUACCAUCUUUGUCGCAGGUGGGGAAGGAAUCCCUUUGCUGGCAAAUCAGCCUGUCCGUAGCCUGGGUCAUAUCUAUACAGCAGACCUCUCUGAUAGGCAGAUGGGGGAAACAGUGAGGAAGCAGCUCGCAGAUGGCCUCGCUAGGAUCAAUCAGAGCCAGCUCCCCGGAAAGUAUAAAGUAUGGAGUUACCAGUUCAUACUGUACCCGAGGGUGAUGUGGCCUCUGAAGAUGAGCGAAGUUCCCUCUUCGGUGGCAGACAAGAUGGAUGGGCUAGCAAAUUCAUUCAUCAGGAAGUGGUUGGGUCUGCCGAGGUGCCUAUCAGACGUAGGCCUCUUCGGCAGGAACACACUACAGCUGCCACUGCGAUCCAUUGGCAUUGGAUAUAAGCAGGAGAAGGCUCGGAUGGUGCUGGAGCAGAGGGAAUCCACUGACCAACUAGUGAGGGCAGCUGGCCCUACUAUACAGACAGGGAGGAAGUGGAAAGCCCAGGAAGAGGUCGACAGGGCAAUUAGCAGGCUGAAACAUCGUGAAGUAGUCGGCAGAGUCCAGGAGGGACGAGCAGGCCUUGGGAGGAGCGAGACCCCCCUCUUCUGGUCAAAGGCCUCCAAGAAAGAGCGGAGAGCCAUGGUGGUGGCAGAAGUGACAAGGACCGAGCAGGAGCACCUCAACAUCAAGGCGGUGUCUCAGAGCCGGCAGGCACGCUGGAUGUCAUGGGAAGGUGUCACAGAUAGGUAUUUGUCAUGGUCUGAUCUGUGGAAGAUCCCCCAAGCCAGGCUCAGCUUCCUGAUUAGAUCCACCAAUGACACCCUACCUUGUCCCAGAAACCUCCACCAGUGGUUCGGCGCUGAAGAACGUUGCCCCCCUUGCGGGACUAGCAAUGCAAGCCUCCAGCACAUCCUGCUGGGAUCUAAGACAGCAUUGUCUCAAGGCCGCUACAGGUGGCGACACGAUCUGGUAUUGAGGAAACUAGCAGAGGUGGCAGAGUCAUGCAGACAGGAAGCUAAUAGUAGACCUUCCGUGCCAAUGAGAAGUCCCAUCCUGUUUGCAAGGGCCGGAGAGAAAGUUAACCACCAUCACCAGAGAGUGACAUCUAGAGCCCUCUCAUCUGGCAGGGAGUGGAACAUGAGGGUUGACCUGGGGAGGCAGCUACAAUUCCCCAGAGAGAUUGUAGAAACUUCGCUAUGGCCAGAUUUGAUCAUUUGGUCAGAACCAACUAAGACCAUUUUGUUAGUGGAGCUCACUGUUCCAUGGGAGGAGGGUAUGGAGGUGGCCAACAAGCGGAAGCAUGCCAAGUAUGCAGACCUAGUAGAAGACUGCAGAGAGGCUGGCUGGAAAGCCACCAUGUGUCCCGUCGAAGUGGGAUGCAGGGGCUUCGUUGGGUCCUCAACAGUUCGCCUGCUCGGCAUUAGUUAUUCAUUCAUU
ensembl:lncRNA